AAUCCAAUAGUACAUAAAAAAAAAAACAUAAAAAAAA
rnacentral:sRNA from 1 species